GAUGAACGCUGGCGGCGUGCCUAAUACAUGCAAGUCGAACGAAAAGACGAGGAGCUUGCUCCACUGACGUUAACGGCGGACGGGAGAGGAACAUAACCAUAACCUACCUAUAAGACUGGGAUAACUUCGGGAAACCGAAACUAAUACCGUACAAUAUCUUGAAGCGCAUGGUUCAAUAGUGACAGACGGUGUUGCUGGCACUUAUAGAUGGCACCGCGCCGCAUUAGCAAGGUGGUAAGGUAACGGCUUACCAAGGCAGCCAUGAGUAGCCGACCUGGGAGCGUGUAGGGGCCCUCUGGAACUGAGACACGAUCUAGAGUCCUACGGGAGGCAGCAGCAGCGAAUGUUCCGCGAUGGGCGAAAGCCUGACGGAGCAGCGCCGCGUGAGUGAUGAAGGUCUUCGGACCGUAAAACGCUGUUAGUAGGGAAGAACGAAUGUGUAAGUAACGAUGCUCGUUUUGACGGUACCUACUCAGGAAGCAACGGCUAACUACGUG
rnacentral:rRNA from 1 species